GAGGGUAUAGUUCAGUGGUAGAGAGCGGGCUUAGCAUGUACAAGGUCCUGGGUUCAAACCCCAGUCCCUCCA
rnacentral:tRNA from 1 species